UUUUAGCCCGGAUUGAAACGGCAUCCCCGAAGCCGCGACAGCGGUUGCGGGAUACAGUGGAAAGCCGGUAGUGUG
rfam:Flavobacteriaceae bacterium 3519-10, complete genome.